rnacentral:rRNA from 1 species
GUGGGGAAUAUUGGACAAUGGGCGAAAGCCUGAUCCAGCCAUGCCGCGUGUGUGAAGAAGGUCUUCGGAUUGUAAAGCACUUUAAGUUGGGAGGAAGGGCAGUAAGUUAAUACCUUGCUGUUUUGACGUUACCGACAGAAUAAGCACCGGCUAACUUCGUGCCAGCAGCCGCGGUAAUACGAAGGGUGCAAGCGUUAAUCGGAAUUACUGGGCGUAAAGCGCGCGUAGGUGGUUCAGCAAGUUGGAGGUGAAAUCACCGGGCUCAACCUGGGAACUGCCUCCAAAACUACUGAGCUAGAGUACGGUAGAGGGUAGUGGAAUUUCCUGUGUAGCGGUGAAAUGCGUAGAUAUAGGAAGGAACACCAGUGGCGAAGGCGACUACCUGGACUGAUACUGACACUGAGGUGCGAAAGCGUGGGGAGCAAACAGGAUUAGAUACCCUUGUAGUCC